rnacentral:lncRNA from 1 species
CCUAACCCUAACCAUCACCACUAAAUGCCUAACCUUAACCCUUACCCUCACCCUAACCAUAACCUAAUUCUAACCCUAAUCCUAAAACCAAGUCUUAACCCUCAGACAGACCUUUAACCUUGGGGGGUCCAGCAUUUUGGCCCCACAAGGCUGUGCAGACCCCACAAGUACACUGGAUUCCAAGUUUUUGGACAAUACGAAUAUAGUUAAACAAGAACACACAGACACACACACACAGAGACACUGGAAUAAGUGGAAUAAACGUAUAAAUGUCCAAAUCUACACAAUAUGCGCAAUCAAUUAGUAAGCUGACAUCACAUUUAUAUACGUUGGCGCGGCAAGACAGUAGUUUUUGUUUUUUCCAGCGCCUCCACCUGCAGGUUGUGCUUUGGAAUGAAAGGGAGAAAGCUCCUUUACUGACAGACAGAUGUGUGUGUGUGUGUGUGUGUGUGUGUGUGUGUGUGUGUGUGUGUGUGUGUGUGUGUGUGUGUGUGUGUGUGUGUGUGUGUUGCAGGUUUGCAGCGUCCUCUGCAGAGCGUCUGCGAGUACAUCAGAGCGCCGUCAACUACCUCGGCCUCGCCUGCUACACUAAAGGAGCGCUGAGCAGCAUGUUUUAUCUGGCGCACGAGUUCCAUGACGACCUGAUCGGAGGAAUCCUGACCAACACCAACUGUGGAGGAGAGAACUGUAACCGUGGCGCGGCGCUCGGGGCGCUGCUCGGCGCCGGCGGUGCAUUCAGGGACACCGGCGUCCCGCGGGAGUGGAGAGCCAGGCUGAGAGACGCACGCCAGCUCAUCCCCGAAAUCCUGAAGGACAUGCAGCUCCAAACUACAAAAUAAAAGCCUCUACUUCCUGUUUACAAACUCAUUUUCAUUCCACUUCUUAUGUUAUUCUCUGAUUUUGAUGAUGUAUAUAUAUAUAUAUAUAUAUAUAUAUAUAUGUGUGUGUAAACUUUAAGCUUUAUCAGUCCUUAAAAGAACAAAUAAAGUUGUAAAGAUUUAAUGUAUUUAGUUG